GCUAUUCCACCUGCUGAAGUCACUUCCCUCAGGCCUCAUGGGCAUUGGCCCCUACUUAACGAUUAACACAAGUGGCUCAGCCACUUUGGAGGGAGGAUUUUUUUUUUCCUUUGAUUUGAGUUUUUUUGUUUUGUUUUUUCAAGACAGGGUUUCUCUGUGUAACUCUGGCUGUCCUGAAACUAGCUCUAUAGACCAGGCCGCCCUCGAACUCAGAGACCCGCCUACCUCUGCCUCCCAGGUGCUGAGAUUAAAGGGGAGGCGAGCAGGCACGUGCCAUUUGUCCCAGGGUAAAGAAGCAUGAACUUGGGACCUCCCGUGCAAUUCUGUGACUCCGACUGGAGCUUACAAACCCAACCUUGGACACCAGGUAUUAAAACCAACCUCCUGGACCCUGAGAGAUGGCUCAGCAGAUAAAGCCACUUUGCUACCAAGACUGAGGAGCCACGUGAUAGAGGAGAGGCCUGGCUCCAGCACGCUAUCCACUAACCUCCACAUGUGUGCCAUGGCACAGGUACACGUGCACGCACACAAAUAAUAGUAGCUGAAGAGACACUAGCCCACUGGAGCAUGUGGCUCUAGCAGGCCUUGCCCUUCUCCCCCAUUCCCUCUGCCUUGCUAAAAACCAUUAGACUACAUUCCUAAAGCUGGACACCAAGGUCUAGUUCCUUAUUUGGCCACUUCCUCCUCCUGAGGCUGACUACCAAGGUCCAGCAAUCAGGAGCCCCCUUUGGCUCACCUAAUUAACAUGCUUAAAUAAAAUUAAACACUUCAUCCUGA